UACAGAGGGUGCAAGCGUUAAUCGGAAUUACUGGGCGUAAAGGGCGCGUAGGCGGGCGAAUAAGUUAGAUGUGAAAUCCCUGGGCUCAACCUAGGAAUGGCAUUUAAAACUAUUGGUCUGGAGUAUAGGAGAGGGGAGUGGAAUUCACGGUGUAGCGGUGAAAUGCGUAGAUAUCGUGAGGAACAUCGAUGGCGAAGGCAGCUCUCUGGCCUAAUACUGACGCUGAGGCGCGAAAGCGUGGGGAGCGAACAGG
rnacentral:rRNA from 1 species